UACGUGGGGGGCGAACGUUGUUCGGUGUCACUGGGCUUAAAGGGCGCGUAGGUGGUUGUGUAAGUAACGUGUGAAAUCCCUCGGCUUACCCGGGGAAUUGCAUGUUAUACUGCAUGACUUGAGGAUCAGAGGGGAAUGGGGAACUCCAGGUGUAGCGGUGAAAUGCGCAGAUAUCUGGGGGAAGGCCGGCGGCGAAGGCGGCCAUCUGGAUCAACACUGACGCUGAGGCACGAAAGCGUGGGGAGCAAACAGG
rnacentral:rRNA from 1 species